GACGCAGAAGCAAAGUUCUACACUCCUGAAAAUUUUAAGGACAACUGCUUGGUUUCUGCUCUAAACUGCUCUUUAGAAGAAUUAGCUGUGAUCAAUAAAGAAUGUGAGACUGUGUCUGGCGAUUACAAUAAUCUACUCACUACACUGAUAGACAUUCGUGAUGACAAUGAAGAUAAAACUUGCCCAGCUGAAGACUUCACCUGUGAGUUGGCUCCCGAAAAAAACGUUACGACAUUUCUGAAGUACUUGAAAUCACUCGUGCAACGAAUCGAAGCUAAAGCAAAGUAGACCUGACUCUCCCAGUGACCAGUGACCAGAUGACAAUGUGAUCACCUAAAGGUUUCUGUGCACUCGACCACUGCACUUCUGACAUCUACAGAGCCUUCUAACCAGCUUGAUGUACAAACUCUUCACUGAAUAUUAUAGGAU